rnacentral:rRNA from 2 species
GGUUAAGCGACUAAGCGUACACGGUGGAUGCCCUGGCAGUCAGAGGCGAUGAAGGACGUGCUAAUCUGCGAAAAGCGUCGGUAAGGUGAUAUGAACCGUUAUAACCGGCGAUGUCCGAAUGGGGAAACCCAGUGCAAUUCGUUGCACUAUCGUUAACUGAAUACAUAGGUUAACGAGGCGAACCGGGGGAACUGAAACAUCUAAGUACCCCGAGGAAAAGAAAUCAACCGAGAUUCCCCCAGUAGCGGCGAGCGAACGGGGAGCAGCCCAGAGUCUGAAUCAGCUUGUGUGUUAGUGGAACGGUCUGGAAAGUCCGACGGUACAGGGUGAUAGUCCCGUACACCAAAAUGCACAGGCUGUGAACUCGAAGAGUAGGGCGGGACACGUGGUAUCCUGUCUGAAUAUGGGGGGACCAUCCUCCAAGGCUAAAUACUCCUGACUGACCGAUAGUGAACCAGUACCGUGAGGGAAAGGCGAAAAGAACCCCGGCGAGGGGAGUGAAAAAGAACCUGAAACCGUGUACGUACAAGCAGUGGGAGCACCUUCGGGUGUGACUGCGUACCUUUUGUAUAAUGGGUCAGCGACUUAUAUUCUGUAGCAAGGUUAACCGUAUAGGGGAGCCGCAGGGAAACCGAGUCUUAACUGGGCGUUAAGUUGCAGGGUAUAGACCCGAAACCCGGUGAUCUAGCCAUGGGCAGGUUGAAGGUUGGGUAACACUAACUGGAGGACCGAACCGACUAAUGUUGAAAAAUUAGCGGAUGACUUGUGGCUGGGGGUGAAAGGCCAAUCAAACCGGGAGAUAGCUGGUUCUCCCCGAAAGCUAUUUAGGUAGCGCCUCGUGAACUCAUCUUCGGGGGUAGAGCACUGUUUCGGCUAGGGGGUCAUCCCGACUUACCAACCCGAUGCAAACUACGAAUACCGAAGAAUGUUAUCACGGGAGACACACGGCGGGUGCUAACGUCCGUCGUGAAGAGGGAAACAACCCAGACCGCCAGCUAAGGUCCCAAAGUCAUGGUUAAGUGGGAAACGAUGUGGGAAGGCACAGACAGCCAGGAUGUUGGCUUAGAAGCAGCCAUCAUUUAAAGAAAGCGUAAUAGCUCACUGGUCGAGUCGGCCUGCGCGGAAGAUGUAACGGGGCUAAACCAUGCACCGAAGCUGCGGCAGCGACACUAUGUGUUGUUGGGUAGGGGAGCGUUCUGUAAGCCUGCGAAGGUGUGCUGUGAGGCAUGCUGGAGGUAUCAGAAGUGCGAAUGCUGACAUAAGUAACGAUAAAGCGGGUGAAAAGCCCGCUCGCCGGAAGACCAAGGGUUCCUGUCCAACGUUAAUCGGGGCAGGGUGAGUCGACCCCUAAGGCGAGGCCGAAAGGCGUAGUCGAUGGGAAACAGGUUAAUAUUCCUGUACUUGGUGUUACUGCGAAGGGGGGACGGAGAAGGCUAUGUUAGCCGGGCGACGGUUGUCCCGGUUUAAGCAUGUAGGCUGGUUAUCCAGGCAAAUCCGGAUAAUCAAGGCUGAGGUGUGAUGACGAGGCACUACGGUGCUGAAGUAACAAAUGCCCUGCUUCCAGGAAAAGCCUCUAAGCAUCAGGUAACAUCAAAUCGUACCCCAAACCGACACAGGUGGUCAGGUAGAGAAUACCAAGGCGCUUGAGAGAACUCGGGUGAAGGAACUAGGCAAAAUGGUGCCGUAACUUCGGGAGAAGGCACGCUGGUGUGUAGGUGAAGUCCCUGCGGAUGGAGCUGAGACCAGUCGAAGAUACCAGCUGGCUGCAACUGUUUAUUAAAAACACAGCACUGUGCAAACACGAAAGUGGACGUAUACGGUGUGACGCCUGCCCGGUGCCGGAAGGUUAAUUGAUGGGGUUAUCCGUAAGGAGAAGCUCUUGAUCGAAGCCCCGGUAAACGGCGGCCGUAACUAUAACGGUCCUAAGGUAGCGAAAUUCCUUGUCGGGUAAGUUCCGACCUGCACGAAUGGCGUAAUGAUGGCCAGGCUGUCUCCACCCGAGACUCAGUGAAAUUGAACUCGCUGUGAAGAUGCAGUGUACCCGCGGCAAGACGGAAAGACCCCGUGAACCUUUACUAUAGCUUGACACUGAACAUUGAGCCUUGAUGUGUAGGAUAGGUGGGAGGCUUUGAAGCGUGGACGCCAGUCUGCGUGGAGCCAACCUUGAAAUACCACCCUUUAAUGUUUGAUGUUCUAACGUUGGCCCCUGACCGGGGUUGCGGACAGUGUCUGGUGGGUAGUUUGACUGGGGCGGUCUCCUCCCAAAGCGUAACGGAGGAGCACGAAGGUUAGCUAAUCCUGGUCGGACAUCAGGAGGUUAGUGCAAUGGCAUAAGCUAGCUUGACUGCGAGCGUGACGGCGCGAGCAGGUGCGAAAGCAGGUCAUAGUGAUCCGGUGGUUCUGAAUGGAAGGGCCAUCGCUCAACGGAUAAAAGGUACUCCGGGGAUAACAGGCUGAUACCGCCCAAGAGUUCAUAUCGACGGCGGUGUUUGGCACCUCGAUGUCGGCUCAUCACAUCCUGGGGCUGAAGUAGGUCCCAAGGGUAUGGCUGUUCGCCAUUUAAAGUGGUACGCGAGCUGGGUUUAGAACGUCGUGAGACAGUUCGGUCCCUAUCUGCCGUGGGCGCUGGAGAAUUGAGGGGGGCUGCUCCUAGUACGAGAGGACCGGAGUGGACGCAUCACUGGUGUUCGGGUUGUCAUGCCAAUGGCACUGCCCGGUAGCUAAAUGCGGAAGAGAUAAGUGCUGAAAGCAUCUAAGCACGAAACUUGCCCCGAGAUGAGUUCUCCCUGAGACU